UACGGGGGGGGCAAGCGUUGUUCGGAAUUACUGGGCGUAAAGGGCUCGUAGGCGGCCAACUAAGUCAGACGUGAAAUCCCCAGGCUCAACCUGGGAACUGCGUCUGAUACUGGAUGGCUUGAAUCCGGGAGAGGGAUGCAGAAUUCCAGGUGUAGCGGUGAGAUGCGUAGAUAUCUGGAGGAAUACCGGUGGCGAAGGCGGCAUCCUGGACCGGCAUUGACGCUGAGGAGCGAAAGCCAGGGGAGCAAACGGG
rnacentral:rRNA from 1 species